CUGGUAUUCAGAAUUGGUCUUGCUGUCUCUCCUAUUGCUGGAAACAGGGUUGGAAACAAUCAGCUUCUGUCUUCAUCUUCUUCAGUUCAAUUUUCUUCUUUAGCAGGUAUUAUCUUCUGUUUCUGUUGCAUCUGUUCUGGAAGUCUCUGAUCCACCAUGACCUCCAGUUGACUGAUCCAUAGUCUACAUAUCCAUUCUUCCAAUGUUUGCAGGUACAAAAACAAUGCCUCAGAGAAGACAGUUUGUCCGGCAUCACAUAACCACCAAGUGUCAGAGUCAAAGACAUGAAUCCAGAAUCUCCAUAUUAUGUGUUUCUUUGCAGUCCCUCCAGUAAGGUAGAAGAAGCAAUUCUCCUCUGUGACCAUGAAAUUGAAUUGGGACCUGUGCUGUAAGAAAUCGCCCAGAAAGUCACAGGAGACUGGCACACACCCUCUAAUGAGAAAACAUUUCACAAGCAACAAAAACCACGGUCAAAAACAAUCAGAGAGUUGAUGAUGGAAAGAAACCUAAAGGAGCAUAAUCCAAAAAGCGGCGAGUCUUUCUUAGAAGAGAAGUAAACCAAAUUCUGCUUUCUUCCCUGACAGAAUGGUGAAGAAAGA